rnacentral:misc_RNA from 1 species
GGAAGUAAAAGUCGUAACAAGGUUUCCGUAGGUGAACCUGCGGAAGGAUCAUUACAGUGUUUAGGCGUGGUGUGCCCCAUUCUUCCUCUGAGGGAUGGUUGGCAUGCCCCCGAAAACCCCCACCCUUGCAUACUGGACCUUUUGUUGCUUUGGCGGGCCUGCCUUCAGGCUGCCGGGGGGUUUCCCCCCUGGCCAGCGUCCGCCAGAGGAAACAUUGAACUCUUUUGGAAUAUUUGGCCGUCUGAGUGAGCUUAUGAAUCGUUAAAACUUUCAACAAUGGAUCUCUUGGUUCCGGCAUCGAUGAAGAACGCAGCGAAAUGCGAUAAGUAAUGUGAAUUGCAGAAUUCCGUGAAUCAUCGAAUCUUUGAACGCACAUUGCGCCCCCUGGUAUUCCGGGGGGCAUGCCUGUCCGAGCGUCAUUGCAACCUUCAAGCGCGGCUUGUGUGUUGGGCUUCGUCCCCCGUGGACGGGCCUGAAAGGCAGUGGCAGCGCCCGAAUCUGGUGCCUGAGCGUAUGGGAAUCUUCUUUCCGCUCGACGUGGCCCAGCGGACGCUGGUCUUCUCAACCAGAGGGUCUUGCACCCUCUCACCGGUUGACCUCGGAUCAGGUAGGGAUACCCGCUGAACUUAAGCAUAUCAAUAAGCGGAGGAA